rnacentral:rRNA from 1 species
UACGGAGGGUGCGAACGUUAAUCGGAAUCACUGGGCGUAAAGCGCGCGUAGGCGGUUUGUUAAGUGGGAUGUGAAAUCCCCGGGCUUAACCUGGGAAUUGCAUUUCAAACUGGCCGACUAGAGUACGGUAGAGGGAGGUAGAAUUUCCUGUGUAGCGGUGAAAUGCGUAGAUAUGUGGAGGAAUACCGAUGGCGAAGGCAGCCCCCUGGGCCAAUACUGACGCUCAUGCACGAAAGCGUGGGGAGCAAACAGG